rnacentral:rRNA from 1 species
UACGGGGAGCAAGCGUUGUUCGGAUUUACUGGGCGUAAAGGGCGCGUAGGCGGCGCAACAAGUCACUUGUGAAAUCUCCGGGCUUAACCCGGAGCGGCCAAGUGAUACUGUCGUGCUAGAGUGCGGAAGGGGCUACUGGAAUUCUCGGUGUAGCGGUGAAAUGCGUAGAUAUCGAGAGGAACACCUGCGGCGAAGGCGGCAUCCUGGACUGGUCCUGACACUCAUGAGCGAAAGCGUGGGGAGCGAUCCGG